AAACCCUGGAAGCCACGAACAAUGAGUUUCGGUACUUUCAAAAGGCUCUGAGUCUCAACAGUGUAACUGCAUUUAAUCCCCAAACGGCGCUUGAGAAGGUUGGAAUCACUCCAUCAUGCACAAGGGCAUACUCCGUCAAUGCCAUACAAAAGGCUCUCAUGGAGUACUUCCGGUUGGACACUCCCUGAAGAUAAUAUGUGCAAGGCAGAGACACGGUCGCACUAUGUUGUUGGAGAUUCACAUGGCGUUGUCCAAAACGUUCAACGUGACAAGAAUGCCUGACCAUUCCACAAGCUGCUGCACGCCCGCCGACCAAAUCUACAUCUUCCCAAUCAGCGACAUGCAUUGUUUUCAGUAGAGGCUGUUUGUUUCAAAAUAACUGAAGUGAAAGCAUUACGAGAAUACACCACUAUACACAAUGUACGGAAAGAAAAACAAUAAGGUUUAAACUAUAGAAGAAAUUAAACAAUACAAGUAAGCAUGUGUCGGAGUGUAGGUUCCAUAUGAACAGAACUGACGGUCGAAGCAUGUGUCUACCGACGGCGUGGGGCGGACGGCACGUUGUUGCAUUCAGGAAACGGAACCAUAUGGUGGAGGGAGUGUGACAGUUUGGGGUGACAUUUGCGGGAACACCAAGACCGACCUCGUUAUCAUCAAUGGCAACCUGCCAGCCCUGACAGACAUGCUUUACAUACACCUUCGUUAAGCAAAUUAAAUGUUCAUAUCUA